rnacentral:rRNA from 1 species
GGAAUAUUGCACAAUGGGGGAAACCCUGAUGCAGCAACGCCGCGUGAGUGAUGACGGUCUUCGGAUUGUAAAGCUCUGUCUUUAGGGACGAUAAUGACGGCACCUAAGGAGGAAGCCACGGCUAACUACGUGCCAGCAGCCGCGGUAAUACGUAGGUGGCAAGCGUUGUCCGGAUUUACUGGGCGUAAAGGGAGCGUAGGUGGAUAUUUAAGUGGGAUGUGAAAUACCCGGGCUUAACCUGGGUGCUGCAUUCCAAACUGGAUAUCUAGAGUGCAGGAGAGGAAAGGAGAAUUCCUAGUGUAGCGGUGAAAUGCGUAGAGAUUAGGAAGAAUACCAGUGGCGAAGGCGCCUUUCUGGUCUGUAACUGACGCUGAGGAGCGAAAGCGUGGGGAGC